UACGGAGGGUGCGAGCGUUGUCCCGGAAUCAUUGGGCGUAAAGGGCGCGUAGGUGGCCCGGUCAGUUCGUGGUGAAAGCGCGGGGCUCAACCCCGAGUCGGCCGUGCGAACUGGGCUCACUGGAGCAUAGUAGAGGCAGGUGGAAUUCCGGGUGUAGCGGUGGAAUGCGUAGAGAUCCGGAAGAACACCGGUGGCGAAGGCGGCCUGCUGGGCUAUGGCUGACACUGAGGCGCGACAGCGUGGGGAGCAAACAGG
rnacentral:rRNA from 1 species